rnacentral:lncRNA from 1 species
UUUUUUUUUUUUUUUUUUUUUGAUUUGAUUGCAUUUGCAAUGCCCCAGUUUGACUGGUUUGCUGAUUCUCAUGAUACGGCUGAAUGAGCCUCUUUGGUGCUCAAGAAGUUGGGUAAUCUCAUCAGGAAUCCCCUUCAACAUCAUCUUCCUCGGCUUCGAAUACAAAGAAUUCAAGAUUGGGAGAUGGCGUUGGAUCAUUAUGUUCAAUGGGUUUAGAAAUCC